AAACUUUAAAAAUCCACCCGUGGGUUUCGCACUUUUUCAUUUUAGUAUCCUGUAGUUUAAAGUAUAUCAAGUUAGUACCAUAUGGUUUCGUACUUUCUGACUUUAGUAUCUGCAGUUUAAAGUGUAUCAAGUUAGUACUAUGUAGUUUUAUUUUUGUAUCAAGUUAGUAUCCAGUGAUUUUAUUUUUCUCUUAAUGAAAUAUUAAAUCACAGGGUGCUAAAGUAAGAAAGUGUGAAACUACAGGAUACUAACUUGACACAUUUAAAAUGAGAAAGUGCGAAAUCACAUUAUACUAAUUUAAUACACUUUAAAUUACAGAAUACUAAAAUGAAAAAGAGUGAAACUACAAGGGGUAUUCCAAGUUUUCCCUAAGUAAUAACAAACCCAACCAC
rnacentral:lncRNA from 1 species